rnacentral:rRNA from 1 species
GACGAACGCUGGCGGCGUGCUUAACACAUGCAAGUCGAACGGAAAGGCCCUGCUUUUGUGGGGUGCUCGAGUGGCGAACGGGUGAGUAACACGUGAGUAACCUGCCCUUGACUUUGGGAUAACUUCAGGAAACUGGGGCUAAUACCGGAUAGGAGCUCCUGCUGCAUGGUGGGGGUUGGAAAGUUUCGGCGGUUGGGGAUGGACUCGCGGCUUAUCAGCUUGUUGGUGGGGUAGUGGCUUACCAAGGCUUUGACGGGUAGCCGGCCUGAGAGGGUGACCGGCCACAUGGGGACUGAGAUACGGCCCAGUCUCCUACGGGAGGCAGCAGUGGGGAAUAUUGCACAAUGGGCGGACGCCUGAUGCAGCAACGCCGCGUGCGGGAUGACGGCCUUCGGGUUGUAAACCGCUUUCGCCUGUGACGAAGCGUGAGUGACGGUAAUGGGUAAAGAAGCACCGACUAACUACGUG